GAUGAACGCUGGCGGCGUGCCUAAUACAUGCAAGUCGAGCGAACAGAUGAGGAGCUUGCUCCUCUGACGUUAGCGGCGGACGGGUGAGUAACACGUGGAUAACCUACCUAUAAGACUGGGAUAACUUCGGGAAACCGGAGCUAAUACCGGAUAAUAUAUUGAACCGCAUGGUUCAAUAGUGAAAGACGGUUUUGCUGUCACUUAUAGAUGGAUCCGCGCCGCAUUAGCUAGUUGGUAAGGUAACGGCUUACCAAGGCAACGAUGCGUAGCCGACCUGAGAGGGUGAUCGGCCACACUGGAACUGAGACACGGUCCAGACUCCUACGGGAAGCAGCAGUAGGGAAUCUUCCGCAAUGGGCGAAAGCCUGACGGAGCAACGCCGCGUGAGUGAUGAAGGUCUUCGGAUCUUAAAACUCUGUUAUUAGGGAAGAACAAAUGUGUAAGUAACUAUGCACGUCUUGACGGUACCUAAUCAGAAAGCCACGGCUAACUACGUG
rnacentral:rRNA from 1 species